GAUGAGAACGUAGCGAAAUGCGAUAAGUAGUGUGAAUUGCAGAAUUCAGUGAAUCAUCGAAUCUUUGAACGCACAUUGCGCCCGCCAGUAUUCUGGCGGGCAUGCCUGUUCGAGCGUCAUUUCAACCCUCAAGCCCCCGGGCUUGGUGUUGGGGAUCGGCGUGCCCUCGCGGCGCGCCGUCCCCUAAAUCUAGUGGCGGUCUCGCUGUAGCUUCCUCUGCGUAGUAGCAACACUCGCACUGGAUCGCAGCGCGGCCACGCCGUUAAACCCCCCACUUCUGAAAGUUUGACCUCGGAUCAGGUAGGAAUACCCGCUGAACUUAAGCAUAUCAAUAAGCGGAGGA
rnacentral:misc_RNA from 1 species